ensembl:lncRNA
ACUAAACUGACCAAUCAGGAUAGAUAUUUAAAUGACGCAACGUCGUUUGCUUCUGUUCAAAAUGCGGCCUAAAGAGGCACAAGGUGGGUGAAUGAAUAUUUUCUCGUUCCGCGUAUAUAACCGAUCAUCACAACAUCAGGUGAUGUUUUAAUAUACUGUAAGUGCGUCAUCAGGCCUUCAUGUGUUUAAGUCAAGACAACAGGUGAAGAGAAAUUCUGCCAAAAAUAACGACAUACAAAUGAUUGGCCAUAAUGAAGCAGUGGAGGAUGGAGUUCUUUACGCACAGGUGAGUAGAUGUUGGAUGGAAUGGGGCCCUCCAUUCACAUAUAUUCGUUUAUCAGUCUGUGUAUUCUGCGCGAUGUUGGUGAUUGGAGAGAUUGUAACGUGUCAUUGAUUAUCGAGACUGUUUUAAGAUAUCAAGGAUUUUGAUAUCUUAAAUUUUAAUAUUUUUUAAUUUACUGCAAUGUUUUAUUGGUUAUUUAUGUAAUCACUCCGACAAAUGUGUUCCUGAAGUAACAUUAACGUUAGGUGCAGCAUGGAUAAAAGUGUGCCAAAAUAAUGUUCCUUGUUUAAAUUUAAUAAGUCAAAGACUUAGACUUUGUUUUGUUAAAUAUAGCAUAAAACCGUUUGUGUCAGCUUGCUUACUAAUUAUGCGCACAGUGAUUGACCUACAGUCUCUGUCAGAGAUUUAUUCAUAGAAAUAUUGUAGAGUGCGAUAUUAUGUUGCCACAUUCAAAUGUCACUAAUUUAACAAGUAUAUGUUCAGCUGUCAGCUACUCUCUCAAACAAUAAGCGGAUAUGCACAUAAACAGCCUUUUAAUUAUCAGAGUAGAAUAAUCAUGGCUGAUAGUAAGACAUGCAAAUGUAAAGGAAAACCAAACUGGAUGCAACUUGUUAAUGAAAACAAGGAUAUAAUCAAAGGUAAAUUUGAAGUUGGGAUAACCUUCCAAACCAAACCAAAAAAAAAAAAAAAAAAAGAUGUGUGGGAAACAUGUUCAAAUAAAUGCAGCCUGCUGUGAGAAAAGGCUAUAAAUGAUCUGCAGGAUCCUCACAUGCGAUAGCCUAGAAGCCGGGACAACUUCUUUAUGUUUACAGACAUGAUGUAAUGAUGCAGUGCCAUGCUCGAAUUUUUGGUUUUUAAAUGGCAUUGACAUUAAAAUCCCCUUUUAGAACGUUUAUUUUUUAAGAGUGUACAUAGUAAAAGCAGUACAUUAUCCUGGACAAUCCUACAAGACAUCCACCUUAUUAAGGGAACAUGCACUUAGAAGCCGAUUAGCAUGCAACAAACAGGACUUCAGCUGUCAUGGGAACUGUGUUCAAGAGGUUAACUGCAGUCAUUACAUCUGCACAGACAGUUGUAAGCAAAGUUUAAUAGAUUUUCGCGGAACCCAAACAGUUGAGCUCUGUGUUGCUAACAAAACUUUAAUAUUUUCACAUAAAUGCUGGUGUAAUUCAUAGACGCUUACAAGGGCCAAACAGACAGAACUGCUUUUUUGUUAUAGUGUUUCGGUGACAACAGAACCACAAACCUUUGCAGCUAUGAAUAAACAUGCAAAGGGAUCUGAAAGAAGUGCAGGAACGAUUCUGUGGAGAAGUGCAAUUAAAACGAGAAAAACACACUGCAUCCGUCUAAAGAUUAGUGUUUCUGCCUUAAUCAAGUGUGGAUGAAUAUAGAUUUUUUAAGGGGCUUAUUUACCUUUUUAGAAGGAGACUUUCCCUUUUUUUUCUUCAGUGUAUUAGAGAUAUUCUUGUAUCCCAGUGGCAAACGGGAAAGAAUGUUUUGGAUGCAUUCCAUAUGAAAUCCCCACUUGAUUAGAUUUAAUAAGCUUAUGGGCCAAUCGUAAUACGUUUGAAAUGAUAUUGAAGAAGCCUUUCAAAAACCUCUCUUAAUACUACAAAAGGACAAUAAAAUUGCUGCUGAAAGACACAAUUCAUAAACAUAAUAUUGAGUUAAAGGAUAUGUAAAAAUUGGUUUAGAAACCAGUGCAAACAAAAAUAAGUGUUUUGCUUUGCUUUACUUUUUUGGACUGUUUUCAGUUGUAAACAAUGAUUGACCUGUGCAUAUUUCGCUCCUGAUUCAGACUUUUUCACUGGAGAAAGCAAUGCUAUAGAGGAUUUGUUAGAGGUAUUUUGGCCAGAAGCAAUGGUUUGAAGUUUAAAAAACUUAAUGAUGUAUCUGUUACUUACAAACAUGCAAGACAUGAUGGAUCUGAUGGACUGGAGUGGCGUAGAUUACCUGUGGAUUAUUGUGAUGUAUUUAUCAGCUGUCUGAUGGCACCCAUUCACUGCAGAGGAUCCAUUGGAACCAAUCUGUUCUGCUGUAGAAACAAACAAAUCUUAGAUGGCCUUCUAGCUAUUUUUUUAUUUUUGGGAGAACUAUUUCUUUAAGUCUGUUAUUGGUAAUGAAAUGAGUGGGUUCAUGUAUUUUCCCUAGAAUUGGGUUUAACUGUUCAGCCUAAAAAAAGCCUAAGAAAUAUUUCAACUUGCUUUUAUUUUGUUCUCUGAGCUGCUCUUUUACACAAAGCAAAAAUGCAUGGUGAUCAUAGAUAUUAAGUUCAGUUGUUGAAAAUCAGGAUUUGAACCCGGUUCCCCUUUCACACUAAAUGAAAGCUGUACCAUUAGACUAACACAUUUUAUAUAACCAGCUCUUAAAAACAUGUUUUCCCCUAUGGUCAUGUGUUAUUUUUCAGGACUGUGACUGGUGACUUUUAAAAAGGAGUGCAUGAUGCGCCUGAGAAUAAGCACUUCAUUUAUCAGCUUCAUCAUGUUUCUGCACGACUGCUGUUCCAGCAGAUACCUGAAGUGACCAGGGCAAGGUGUCCAUCGUCAGAAUGUAAACUCUAUAUGCUUUUAAACUGGAUGACCUUUCCUAAUAACUAAAAUCUUUUUUUUUUUUUAUGACUUUCACAAGAAAAAAAUCAGUAGAAAUGAUUGAAAACCUCUCGCUGCAGUCUGGUAAUGGUUUUUAAAAGGUUUUAUAGUAUUUCUAUGGAAAUGGAGCAUGCUUUUCCUGAUGCUUGAUGUUCAACCCUUGAUGUCAUAACACACAAAAAGCAGCAUCCGCUGAUCUAUAACAGAGAACUGGAUUGCUCAUGAUGCCAUAAAAUUGAAGCCACUGCACCGCCAUAUUGGUAUUCCUUAGUAUUCCCAUUCUAUUGGAUUCGAAAACAUCACCUAAUAAGUCAGUGUUUUUGUAUCUACAUUCUCCCUGUACAUUCUUACAAUGCAAACGUCCUAUGCAUGUAAAUGGUUAUUUGUGUAAUGCUGGGAAUUUCCCCUGUGUAAUAAAAAGUUACAUUCAUAUACAUUACAGUAUCAAACAUCAGAUGAACGUGAUUAACAUCAAAUGGAUGAGAUCCUCAACGUGUAUAUUAUAAAU